CAAGGGCGACGCCCCGCAGUCCGGCCAGGCUCCGCUGUCGGAGAGCCGACACCCCUAAGCACAGGCAACUCCAUCUACAGGAUCUUGGGGCGGCUGAAAGACAAACCAAACACACACACACACACACAAACCCAAAACCCAAAACAAAACCAGAAAUCCCGCAGCAGUCUAUCAGCAGCGGUUGGAGCGUUGGGAUUCGGCGCACGGGGCCCCGGUGGCGGGAGGAGGGACACGCCGCAUCCCUGACGGCCCCCAGGUGGGCCGCUGCGUAAGGGCACCUCCAUCCUUUCGGACCUCGGCAGGCGCGAACGUCUGAACCGCCUAGGAGGAGGCGGACGGUGACAGUGAGAGCGCCCCUCAGUCAGGGUCCCCCUCCUACAGGUGUCUUCCCACCGCAAGUUCGGUGGCCAGGCUGCCGCUCACCGGCCGCGUGGCUUUGGAACCCGAUCAGCCUGUCUACACCGCAGGAAAAGACUUGCAGACGCUGUCAGUGAGAGCGAGCGACCGCGGCACCAACCUGGGCGGCUCGUGGGGAGGCUUGGAGAGAGGGCAUCUCACCUGGCGCGCGGUGUGCCCAUCACGUAGUGGGCCAAUGCCUACGUUUUUAAGUAUCUUUACCGAGAUACUUUUGGUGAUUGAAUGCUUAGGGUGCUCCAGAUAACUGAACUAAAAGUUGGUCUCAGUUGAAGCAGGCCUCAUACUACAUAAAGAGAUGGAGCACUGAUUUCCAAUAUGGUAACUAAAUCAAGACAUUACUGCUUCCUCUAAAUUUACUGCUCCCUUCAAUGAAAACAGGAUUAAUUCCUUAGCUUGCUGUGAUGCCAGCAGACUCCAGUCUGAAGAUUUUAUCUCUGAGAUGACUCCUAAUCUCCCACAGUGGCGAGCCCUGCAGAAAUAUUGGCAAUGUGGAAGAUACCACCCAUUCUUCCUUUUCACUGCAGCCUGUGCGAAAUCCCUGGCAACAAUGUGCCUCACGUGCUAGCCUGUGGACUUUUAGACUAUCCUACUUUUCGUUUAUCUUACUUUUGGCUUAUCCGACUUUUUAUUAUAGCUUUGUAAAUAAUUUACCAAUCAAUUUGGUCAAAUUGUACCUACGAGAGCAUACUCCAUGCCUCCAGGUCAGCACCUGGAACCCCACCGAUGUCACUACUAUGCACUCUAUGCAGUAAGUCCUCACUCUUUGAUAGGCCCUCUCAUCACAGUCAUUUCUCAUAAUGCUCAGCCAUGUGGACGGUGAAGCCAGGUGUCAGGGAUUUAAAUCUGAGCAUCAGGGAUCCCUGGGUGGCGCAGCGGUUUAGCGCCUGUCUUUGGCCCAGGGCGCGAUUCUGGAGACCCGGGAUCGAAUCCCACGUCGGGCUCCCGGUGCAUGGAGCCUGCUUCUCC